UGGUGUGGAGAAUAGAGUCCUUACGCCACACAGUCCAGUAUCCAGCUGUGCGACCUUGGUCGGAGCUCCUAACCUUUUUGAACUUCGUUUUUCGAAUCUGCAUUCCAGACAGAUGAAAUAACAUGUGCAAAAGCAGAGAGGUGUGAAUAGCAUGCUGAGCUUGGGAAGCUGCAAGAAGCACAGUAUGGCUGACGUUCCUGAGGAUGUACUUGACCCAGGGGGCCCUGCAGUCCACUGCCCAGCCGCGGUUGUCUCCCACCUGAGACUGGAAGAUUCGUCCCUCCUUGGCUGCCAGCUUGCAGACGAACUUUGUUCCUUCCCAUGCCUCAGGCUGAAGAGACACUCCUCGUCGAAUGUCACUCCCCUGCCCUGACAAGCCCGCGUCCUAUAAUUGGCCCACAUGGUGGAAUAAAGGCCCAGCCCCCUUCUCCAACUGUGAGAAGUCAUUCCAACUCCAGAGCUCCCCGAGAGACGGGCUGAGGCCUUUGUGGGGUCUGUAUCACAGCCCCAGUGGUCCCACUGCCCAACAGGUAUUGUUCUUGAGAUCAACUGUCAAUAAACCU